ACCCACUUCACUUUCGGGCAGGGAGAGGGAUUUAAAUGGUAAUCUGUGGAGAUGUUCCCAUUAAUGUCCUAUGUAAGUGUGUUCCCGGUAGCCGGUGUUUGCUCUUCUGUGAAACACUUCACAGGAUAUUUGUGAGCUGGGAGCAUAGAAAGCACAUACGUCUCAGGAUGACCGUGCGAUUUUGUUCCGACUAAAAGCUUCAGGCUGGAAUAGUUUUCCGGUAGCGUUCUCGUGGGGGACAGGAGAAAGCAAACCGACGCGCUUUCAAGACGUUCUCUUGCUAGAUCCGCGCAGCCCUGCCUGCGGUACUGAUCUCUGCUCGGGCUCUUCCUCCAUUGCCCCGGUUUUCCGCGCCCAAUAAAUACCCCAGCAGGGCAGGUGCGGGCGCCAAGACCUGUAUCUUCACAAUUACAACGUUGGGUUGGACCUGAGUGAGAACUUCACGGAGCGGCGCUCUCGGCCCGGCCCUGAGCAGCUGCUGGAGGACGGGGAUUGGUAGCGGUGGCGCUUGCGGCUCGAUGCCUGUCCUCGCUUCUCCAGUGCAUGCUCCUCUGACCAGAGCCGAGCCGUAUUCCAGGGCGGCGGAGCAGCCGGAGAGCGUUCGCUUUGCGCCAAGCGACGGCUGCCACCUGCACCGUUACCAAGAGGGAAGAAACAGAGAACUGGAUCAGGGAAAGCCACAUGCACUGCCAGGAGCACCCUCCAGUGUGGGCUUCCCACGGAGCCACAGUCUCCUUUGGACAUCCCCUCCUCUGAUGUGGGGUCGUCCACAGGCUGCAGACAUGUGGCACCUCUCUACCAUUUAUUUCCUGCCAGUAUCUUCUCCCUAAUAGACACUGGUGUGUAUUGCAUAUUGUCUGGGAGAGAAAAGUAAGUACCAUGGAAAGUGAUGAGAAACAGCUGGGAUCAGCAUUAGAAGACAUCCUAAAAAAAAAAAAUCAAAUCUCAAGUACUAUCAGUGAAUUUUCCUGGGUAAUUUGCUUAUCAACC
rnacentral:lncRNA from 1 species